GAAGCUCAGAUUAAGUAAUAUAAUUCAUCAAUAUUCAUUUGAUUUUUCCCCAAGGAGCCGAUGCACUCAGGCCUUUCACACUUCAUUAACAGGGUGCGGCCUCAGUUGGCUUGUUCCACUAAUGUACCAGGAGAUUGCCUGUCAGAAUCUCUCCAACUCCUCAAAUGGAUCUUCACCAUCCACCUCCACCUCCCAGUAUAAAACACAGCUAAGCAGAAGAGUGGCACCACAGUCCACAUACGAGAGGUGGACAGCAUCUUCUC